rfam:Polaribacter sp. Hel1_33_78 genome assembly, chromosome: I
UUAUCGCGUUAAGGAUAGCAGUGAAAAUACUUUUUUUGCUUUUAUAAAUGGUAAAAAAAGAUUGAAACGAAUAGCCUAUUAAAAC